rnacentral:siRNA from 1 species
UAUUCAAACUCACCACAAAGGUA